AUAUUAUCAUCUCUCAAAGAGGCCCUGGAGUCCAUGAAACGAGGUUCAUUCAGCUCAAGCCCAAGAUCAUCUGAGCUGUGUCUUCCUGAAACCUCAGAAAUGAUUUCCCUCAGUGGUUCUGAUGUCCCCAAAAGAGUCUAUGACAGACUGAACAAGUCACGAACUUCUCUUUUUACUCAAGAUUUGGCCACUUUACUUUUUGCUAUUGUAUUUCACUUUGUUUGACUUAAAGGAUUAGUUCACUUUAAAAAAA